UGCUUGGCACAUUGCUUAAGUUUCCACCUUGUAAACCAGGGCAACCUUAGACAAGUAUUCAUCAGAGCUCCAAAAAGUUUCAAUCUGCCUUUUGGAGUUGAUGGCUAAGAACCUUAUGAUUGAUCCUGGGCAGCUCAUGAAUAUGUUUCAAAAGGGAAGACAACAGAUAAGAAUGAAUUAUUAUCCCCCUUGUGUGCAUGCAAGCAAGGUUAUAUAUUUGUGGACUUACCCUUCUUGUUCAAGUCGAUGAAGUACAAGGCUUGCAAAUAAAGAGAAAUGGUAAAUGGAUACCGAUAAGGCCUGUCCCUGGUGCAUUCAUCGUCAACAUUGGCGACAUUCUUGAGGUAUUAAUAUGGUCAUUGGCAACCUGAAAGUUGGACGAGUAAAAUAAUUUAUGGUUUCAUUGAUUGUGAGCAGAUAAUGAGCAAUGGGGAAUACAAGAGCAUAGAGCAUAGAGCGGUGAUGAACCCAGAGACGGAACGCCUCUCCAUUGCAACAUUCUGUUCUCCGAGUGUUGAGACAAUCAUUGGUCCUUUACCAGAGCUUACAAAGGAGAAUAAUGGUGCAAUCUAUAAAUCUGUAGACUGGGAUGAGUAUUUAAAGUUUGCACUAAGUAGGGAACUUGAUGGUAAAAGUGCAAUCAAUCAUAUGAAGUUGGAGAACUGAAAGACCAAUGAUAACUUCCAUUGCCUGAGAACUUUGUUUGGUGAUUCAUGGACUUUUAUGGGCCAAGGCUAUUUUGGCCUUUAAACUGUGUUGUUUUACAUUAUUAAUGCUUAAUGCCUUCACUUGAUUGAUAAAGCUUGAAGAAAUUAACAAAAUAUCCUCAUCACUUUAAAAUAUUUAACACCGGGAAUUUUUCUACAAUAUGACAUAUCACAAUCACUCCCCAUAUAGAUAGGAAUGACAACGGGGCAGGUUCGGGAUGGGUCGCCCCCCUCCCAACCCUGCCCUGUUUAUUAAAAAAAAUUCUCAUCCCCAUCUCCUUCCCAUACCCGUCCCGCCCUACCCCGUUUAGCUUUUUUUUAAAAAAAUUACUUUUAAAUUUUUUAAUUACAUUAAAAUAAAUAUAUUUUAAAAUUUUAUAUGUAAACGGGGUGGGAUGGGGCAAUACCCGAACCCGCCCCGGGUUUAAAAAAAAAAUCUCAUACCUGUUCCAAACUCGUUUAUUAAAUUUAAACUCCGUCCCAUUAGGGGCGAAGCAGGGCAAGGCGGGGCGAGUAUCCGAAAAAACCCGUCCCGUUGUCAUCCCUACAUAUAGAGACAAUAUCCUUGUUGUGUCACACAAAAGGGUUGAGGAUUAGUUCUAAUUAUACCAUUAUAAUGGCCGAACCUCUCCCGAUAAUGUAAAUAUUAUCCACUUUGGAUCCAAAGGGUCCUCACAACAUUUAAAUGUAUUUAUAAGAUUAAAAGAAAUUCAAACAUAUAUAUGACACUAAAACCUUUUUUUCAUAUCCGAUGUAAGAUAUCACAAUUUAUAACCAUAGAUAUGUACAAUCAAAAUCAAACAUGAUACAUAAAAAGUAUUAAAACUUUCCACAAAAGAUCUUACUCUGUAUUGAAAUAAAAUUAUAGAACUUCACUAUAGUUUACUUCAAUCCUCACUUUCUAGACAAUGGUAACAUUGUUUUUCCACAAUUCUCUUAUAUUAGUGGUACAAGCAUCCAUCCAUUUUUAAAUAAAAUAUACAUAGAAUUAAAAAUAUAUAUUUUUAGUGUACUUUUUUUGUACUUAUUAAAAAACACCACCAAUAAAGUGGUACUAUGCAUCCAACUCGACUCUCAUUGCCUUGUACUUGAGUUUUAUUCCUUUGUACGAUAAUUAAAGUCUCAUUGUUUUGUAUCUCAAUUAUAUUUAUUUAUAUUUUGACCUUAUUCUUUAUUAUUUUAGGUUCAUUUAUUUGUAUUUUAAUUUUAUUUAUUUGUACUUUUAUUUAAUGAUCCAAAUUUUAUUAUAUACUUUUAAUGUCAUGAUUCAAAGUUUAGUACCUUCAAAAUUUUCAACAAAUAUAAUACUUUGGCACAAUCAAAAUGACAACUAAUUUUGAGUGAGCCUUUUUCCAAUGACAGGAAGGUCCUUAUGGCUUUCAAUCUAAAUUUUUCAUUCCAAAAUCAUUGUGAAUAUGUUGACAAGCAUAUUUUGAAAAUAAAGCAAAACAAAUUUAAAACAUAAUUAGGUCAUUGAACUCAUCAACCAUAUCUCCAUCGCAAAAUCAAAAGAUUAGCGAAGAAAAAGAAUCUCUAUUUACACUAUAAAGCAUAAAGAUUAGUAAAAAGGUAACUUGUACUCAAGAUUGCGCAAGAACUUUGAUUAAUCAUUGCUUUGAUAGGUAAGAAUCAAAAUUAGGAUGAAUGAUAUGGGGUUUUUUUUUUUUUUUUUUUGUAUUAUUACAUUUGUUUUCAAAAGAAAAUUUUGAAAAUUUGAAAAUUAUGAGAAAUAUAACACUACUCAUGUCAAAAUUAUCUCUAUAUAAAUUUAUAAAUUGUCUCUAUAUUAAAAUCUCAUUUUCAAAAAGACAAGUUACCUUAUAACUAUUCAUCUUAAAAGACAAUUUUAAUACAAAUUUAAAUUGUGCUCAUGAUAAAAUCUCAUUUUGAAAAAUCGGUUUUUGCAUGUAAAAUUAUAAUUUUAAAGGAUGAUUUUAGAAGCAUGAUGAUAUUUUUCUAAAUAUUUUAUGAACACUAUUUUUUUAAAAUAUGUCUUAUUAAAUAAAUUUUAAAUAUUAAAAAAUUGAAAAAAAAAAAAAAAAAAAAACCCUGGUCCCAAAGCCUCAACAACAGUUCUUUAACAUAAUAUUAAAAGAUUUUCGACUGCAAAUUUGAAAAUUAAAUUCAAAGUUUUUUUCAGCAACUUUGAAUGAAGGCUCUUCAAUCUAAAGUCAAGGUCUUAAAUGAGCCUUGGUUUUUAGGUGCACGAAUCUUUAGAUUUUUUCUGUAUCUCGCAAGCAAAACAUCAGCUUUAGGUAACGCGUCGUUUUCAAAGAAAAUAAAGCAAAACAUGUGUAUGAUGUAUAAUAUACAAUAAUGAGAAACCCUGUGGAGACAACAAAUGGUGGGUGAAGAAAUGAGCACAGAGUCGGGAUUCUUUCUUCCAGUUGAAAAUGUCCAAGCUCUCGCUUCCAACAACUCAGGUGAAAUACCAAGCCGGUACCUCCGGCCGGAACUCCAGUCAGAAGAAGUUUUGGCGGACGAGUCUAUCCAGAUUCCCACCAUAGAUAUGAGGAAGCUCAUGGUUGCUGAAGAUGAGAUGGGUAAACUUCACUAUGCCUGUAAAGAAUGGGGCUUCUUCCAGGUACAAUCCUUAUCCUUAUCUCUUGGGAUUCUUAUAGAGUUCCUGUUUUGAGCUGCAUCCCUAGUUUUAUCCCUUGGAAUUUGUGUUUUGGCUGCAAAAGAUCCACAUGAAAUUAAUUUAUGAUAUUUUGUUCUAAUCUAUCUUGAACAAUAAGUGCUGAAAAUUUCUCAUUUCAAUUUCUCUUAGAUAGAGACUUUAUUACUAUUUAGAUCAUGUCAACAUAAUUAGAUCUAAACCACCUUGGUGAAAAAUAAAAAAUCUUUAUUAUUCUGGGUAAUUAUUGAAAGUGUAAAUUAAAAUCAUUGAAGUCAGCUAUAGCCGAGUCUGUUGGAUAGUUUUAUCUUAUACCUUAAUGGGCUACUGUCUUAUGUUAAAUUGAGCAUAUUGUCAUCAAACAGUUGAUAAAUCAUGGGGUAGCAGAAGAAGUAAUUGAGAAAAUGAAGGCAGACCUUCAAGAGUUCUUUAAAUUGCCACUAAAGGAGAAGAAUGCAUAUGCAAAACUACCAAAUGGGGUUGAAGGUUAUGGCCAACACUUUGUUGUUUCCCAAGACCAGAAGCUUGAUUGGGCUGAUAUACUUUUUCUUCAAUGCCGGCCAGCCUCUGAAAGAAAUAUGAGGUUCUGGCCUCAAGAACCCACUUCUUUCAGGUAAAUAGAUCUACUCCUUUUAUUACAGUAUGCUUGGCACACAUUGCUUAAGCUUCCACCUUGUAAACCAGGGCAACCUUCGACAAGUAUUCAUCAGAGCUCCAAAAAGUUUCAAUCUGCCUUUUGGAGUUGAUGGCUAAGAACCUUAAGGUCGAUCCUGGGCAGCUCAUGAAUAUGUUUCAAAAGGGAAGACAACAGAUAAGAAUGAAUUAUUAUCCCCCUUGUGUGCAUGCAAGCAAGGUUAUAGGUCUCACUCCCCACUCAGAUAUUUGUGGACUUACCCUUCUUGCUCAAGUC
rnacentral:lncRNA from 1 species